UCGGGAAUUUUGGGCAAUGGGCAAAAGCCUGACCCAGCAACGCCGCGUGAGGGAUGAAGUAUUUCGGUAUGUAAACCUCGAAAGAAUGGGAAGAAUAAAUGACGGUACCAUUUAUAAGCUCCGGCUAACUACGUGCCAGCAGCCGCGGUAAUACGUAGGGAGCAAGCGUUGUUCGGAUUUACUGGGCGUAAAGGGCGCGUAGGCGGCGCGGUAAGUCACUUGUGAAAUCUCGGAGCUUAACUCAGAACGGCCAAGUGAUACUGCUGUGCUAGAGUGCGGAAGAGGCAACCGGAAUUCUUGGUGUAGCGGUGAAAUGCGUAGAUAUCAAGAGGAACACCUGAGGCGAAGGCGGGUUGCUGGGCCGACACUGACGCUGAUGCGCGAAAGCCAGGGGAGCAAACG
rnacentral:rRNA from 1 species